GACCCGCUUCUUUCCCAAAAGGAAGUGGCCUCAGAAUUUUCUCGCGGAGUAACCUCUUCGUAAACCCAGGUUCCCCAGGUCCCACGCCUGAGGGUGCUCGGAGCCGCCCUGGAGGGCAGCACGGACUGGCGGGUUCUUUUAAACCCACGGUGAAAACGUCCUCUGGAUGUUUCAUCUGAUGAAAGGCGCAUCCUUACUUUUCCAGUCUUGGUCACAUUCUCUCCUUUCCCUACCAAAGACUGGGUGGCACGGUCGCCCCCGAAGCGUGAAUUGGGGUUGAGGAGGAAGAACACAGUAAACGCUCUUUGAGUGGCCUGUGGCUUCUCUACUUCUUCAUUAACCACUCCUGGUUUGGGCGGAUUCUCACACAAAAUUGUCUUGGCAAAACCUCAGCCUGGCCCACGAUCAAGGGAUGCACCUGCAUUGAUCUUCUUGAAGGAGCUGUCCUUUGGCAGCCUGCUGGGAUUUCCUUCAAGAGGAGGAGAGGAAGGGAAGCACUUGUCCAGGAUAAAGCCUAGCUCCCUAUAUAUCCGUUCCUCUAUGUGGACGAAAUGUGAUGAUCCGCAGUCAACACCCUGCACAGCCAGCCUCUUCUCAGCAUCUGCCUUCAGAUAAACUAACCUGCAACAGCUGACCUCACUGGUGUCAUUGAGCACAUCCAAAAUCAUUUUAAAUAUCUCUAGUGAAGAGUUUGAAUCCAGAUGCCCCCUGGUGGUUACGCCUUUAAUAUAGACUCUUCAAAUAUCUGUGGAAAUAACCAUGCAGGCAUAACAAAGAAUAAAAAUGCACAACAUUGAUCA
rnacentral:lncRNA from 1 species